AACUUUCGGCAAUGUGUCUCUUGGCUCUCGCAUCGAUUAAGAACGCAGCGAAAUGCGAUAAGUAAUGUGAAUUGCAGAAUUCAGUGAAUCAUCGAAUCUUUGAAGGAACCUUGCGCUCUUUGGUAUUCCGAAGGGAAUGCCUGUUUGAGUGUAUUGAAAUUAUCAACCUUGAUUUGGUUUUAGUGCUCUUGUCUUGGCUUGGGUUUGGCUGCUUGCCGGUCGAAAGAGUCGGCUGAGGUUAAAAGUAUUAGCUGGAUCUGUCUUUGAGACUUGGUUUGACUUGGCGUAAUAAGUUAUUUCGCUGAGGACAAUCUUCGGAUUGGCCGAGUUUCUGGGACGUUUGUCCGCUUUCUAAUACAAGUUCUAGCUUGCUAGACAUGACUUUUUUAUUAUCUGGCCUCAAAUCAGGUAGGACUACCCGCUGAACUUAAGCAUAUCAAUAAGCGGAGGCU
rnacentral:misc_RNA from 1 species